ACACAGCUCGGUGCUCAGCACUCUUCCAGACAUCGCCCUAUUUAUCUCUUCAUCAGGCUUUUCACUUCUUAUCCUUUAUAAUAAACCAGUGAUGCCAAUUAACUCAGAAAGUGUCAACUUCUGUAUCUACAUCAAUGACACCCAAAUAUGUAUCUCUAGCCUGACAUAGCUCAAGCGGCUCCAGUGCAGGAGACAGAGGGAGCCUGGAAUCCAAAGAAGAGAGCUCCAACCAGCAUAGAGUUGUCAACAGUGCAAGCUGCUGAAAAGAGGACAAGGAAGAUAUUAUCCCUCCACGCCAACCAGCAUGCACUUCUCAACCAGCCUUACUGCCUAUAAACUACCGCUGUUUUGACUGUCAGCUAAAUGAUGAAAGCCUGAGAGAGGGCAUUUUAUUAGUGGCAUAGUCAGAUGCAGCUGUGCUCUAAGACCAUCCUCUGAAAAUGCCUGGGAGAAACUAUUUCCUUCUCAUUGACAAUUACUAAAAAUGGUCAUUCGUUGGCCAGGUCCACUAAACAGUGCAUACGUUGAUCAGAGUUAUUUUGUUUGAAAUUAGUGUGCUGUACAGAAAGCUUUGUCUUGCAUGAACCUGUGUUUUGAUAAAACAGAGACCUUGGGCAUUAGCAGAUAGGAGGAUGGGUGACAGUUUACCACUAACUUUAAACAGGUUCAAAGGUAAAUACCAUAUUUUGUUAAUUUUCAUAUUCAUUAAAGAUCUAAAUAUUGAGAAGUUUGCUUGAGGAUUAAGUAUCUUCCAACCAGGGGCACCAAGGUGAG
rnacentral:lncRNA from 10 species